rnacentral:rRNA from 1 species
AUGAGCCUGCCUCGUUCAAGGGGACGAUCUCCGAGGACCGGCCACGAGGAGAGGGCCCGAGAGCCGCUGCGCUUCUACCAGCAGACCAGGGACAACAAAGACCUCGUCAUGCUCGUCAUCUCUUGCAAGUUCGUGGAGGUUAUGAAUGAGUGGCUGGUCAUCAAGCGGCUCCCGCACGUGGUCAGGCUGUCGGCGAACAAGUGGUGCGUGUUCUGGAUGCGGGUCCAAAACUUCGAGGGGCACAUGGUGCUUGGCCGGGGCGGGAACUACUUCUGCCGCCGCCACCAGAUUGUCCUCGGCAACCUCAUUGUUGUGCGCAUCUCAGGACUCCGCCUAAAAACUUAUGGUACUUAUGUUGUGAACUUGUUCAUAUUUUGGCCAGGAGUAGCACCCUGGCGUGGAGCAGGGAAGGAGGAUGCCCCCGCUGUUAGUCUAAAUAAUUUGUUGUCAUUUUCGUUGCUUGCUUUGUUUGAUCUCAUUUGGUUGAUUCCUUUGUUUGAUCUCAUUUGGUUGAUUCCUUUGUUUGAUCUCAUUUGUGCUUGCUAUUGUUCUAAUCAUGUGGUGGUAAGGCCACCACAUUUGAAUUGGGUGAGCAAAACACAAACGUUGUUUGCAACCAAACAGCUGAAGUUUGCAUCUGCUCACACCCUAAACACAAAAACGGCAACCAAACAGCAGAGUUUCGAAAUGCAGCUUGGCCACACCGUCUUGCACGCGCACCACGACACCGCCGCUUGCAUCGGUGUCGCGGCCGGCGAGGGCUGGUGGUGCAGGUUCCCGGCCGUGUUCAACUUCAGCGACUCCAACUCCGACACAGGCGGCUUCUGGGCCGCCUUCCUGGUGCAGCCGACCCCGUUCGGUGUCACCUACUUCGGUUGGCCCGCCGGCCGCCUCGUCAUCGACUUCAUAGCUCAGGCCAUGGGGCUGCCGCUGCUGAGCCCCUACCUGCGGUCCGUCGGCUCUGACUUCCGGCACGGCGCCAACUUCGCCACUCUCGCCUCCACGGUGUUGCUUCCCAACACGUCGCUCUUUGUCACCGGCAUCAGCCCCUUCUCCCUCGCCAUCCAGCUUCUUCAGAUGAAGGAGCUCAGCAAUAGAAGAUGGCUCCUCUUUCCCCCCUUCCCCUUCCCCCUCUCCCCCCGCUCCUCCCCGCUCCCCGUCUCCCUCUCGCCUCGAUCUCGCCGUUGGCCCGGGCUCCUCUCCUCUGAGCGCGCCUUCUCCCUCACCCCCGUCGACCCCCUCGUCGCCUGUUGUUCGGGGUGGCUCUCCUCACAUCCUGUGCGCGAUGGCCCGCUCGGUAGCCUCGCCUGGGCCGUCGGCCUGUCCUGGAUCUCGUUUAUGGGCGUUGGGGGAUGCAGAGGACUCGGCUUCCGAUUUGGAGGUAUGUGCUUCGUCCGCUGCGGCGGUGGCGGUGCCGGUCAUCCCUGCGUCAGGUCGGGCCCGGGAAUUCGCCCCGGGUGGUGGGGUCGGCCGGUGGCGGAGUCUUUUGGGUCGUUGGGGUGGCUGCGUGUCGGUCGGUGCCGGCACAAGGCGGGGAGGUGCAUGGCCCCUUCCCCUAACUGCGGCCUCCUCGGUCCUUCUCCCUCCUCUGUCAUGGCGGAACCAUGCGCCUUGGGCUCUCCGGCGGGUGGGGCUGCUCUUCCCUCCCCUCUCCGGCCGCUGUUGGUGGCGGCUGUGCCGGCGGGGGGCGAGGGAGGCUGUCGGUCUAACCCUAGAUCGGACGCGUCCUGUGUUGGGGGUGGGCCCCCGUGGUCAGCUGGGCUUGGUGGCCCCCUGUCUGGAUCGGGCUGGGCCGUUUGGGCCUCCGGCUCUGUGCGACGUGGUUCUUCCCCUCCCCUCCUAGGGUUUCCAGCCUCCGCCGCUGAUAUUCGCAGAGCGCGUCGCCCUAUUCGUCUUUUCUCCAGAUCCAACUCCAUCCCUCCUCCUCUCCACCUCUCCUUCGUUGAAGUGCUUGCCAUGGACAAGUCCAGGGGGUCUUCUUCCGAGGCCCUCUCGGGCUGCAAGCAUGCUCGUGAAGAUUCGUCGGCAAUGGAGCGUGAGGCUUGGGCGGUUGGGCCGGAGUGGCUCCAGCAUGACGAGCAGGUGCGCUCGGUUGCCAGAUCUGGGUCGAGGCUGCCUGGAUCUGGUGGUGCGGUGGCGUCGGGGCAGGAUCCAUGGGAGGCUGCUGCUGCUUCGGCUGGUGGUCGCUCUUCCUCGUCGGUGCCGCAUUCGGCUCCGACCAAGGGUCCGGUUCCCCCACCUCGGCCUCCUCCUCGCUCGUUCAUGACUGGUGUUGGUGCUGCCUCCCAGUCGGGUCCGUGCUUCGGCCCUGGUUCUUCUUCUUCGUUGCCAGGUGGUCACCGCGCACACUCUUAUGCUCCGGGCGCCCCCUCUGCUGGCCUUGGAGAUGACAUCCUACCCCCGCCCCGCCUCCUCCUCCCUGCCAGCACCCUGCGGCAUCAGGCCCUUCUCCGUCUCUAUCCUGCUUUACCUUUUGGGAUGGUUUUACCUGGCUGCUCCUUGUUCGCUUUGGAUGCUGAUGUUCAUGUGGUGAUGGAUGUGUCGUCUCUCUCUAACGCGGCCAUCAUCACUGGUUGGGACUGGCAGGUGUGCCAGCUUUCAGAGUUCGAGUUUGCAGUGGUCUUUCCCUCCAAGGAAUGUCUAAGGAUGAUCUCCUCGUGCACUAGUUUCACUCUUCCUCUAAACCAACUGGUGGUGUCAGUUAAAGCGGCGACCUGUGGUGCUAAGGCGGUUGGCCCUCUGUCCAAGAUAUGGGUGCUGGUUGACGACGUGCCAGUGGGCUUACGUUCUACUGAGUUCAUGAUGGCGUUUGGGAAUCUCAUUGGCAAGCCCAUUGAAGUUGAUGCGGACUCUUUGGGCAAGGUUGGUCCGUUUCGGCUCAAUGUGUGGUGUAUUGAUCCUGUCUGUGUUCAUGGUGUUGUGGAUGUUUUCCCAUCUCCCGAAGGUGUGCGCUUACGAGUCCGGGUCGAGGGUGAUGUUGUCCAUGUUCCUCCUCUGACCCCUUCUCCCAAGGCGUCUAAUCAGGAUGACAAGCAAGGUGAUGGCUCGGCUGGUGGGCAGUACCCGAGUGGGGGCUCGGAUCUUUGGUUUACUCAGUCCGAAUGGGAUAAAUUGGAACCUCAUGAUCAGGAGCUGCUCAGGGACAAUGCCCUGGCUACUAACCCUCAGAAGGAUGAUCUGGCUCCCCGUGAGAAGGCUGCUAGCAAGGGUACACCCUUCUCUGGUGUUUGCUCCAACGUGUCUGCUCGCCCUCAGUCUCCCUCCUUCUCUGGGAUCGAGGAUCUUCCUGCAUCUCCCCCGCGAUCCACCGAGCUCACUACUAAGAAGAAGAAGAAGUCGUCGAUUCAGAAAUUCUUUGCAAAGAGCAGGGCCUCCUCUGGCUCCAAGCAUUCUUUGGUGGGUCUGGCUCGCCGUCUGGACAAGGAUCUGGGGUUUGCUUCGGGAUCUGGCCCAGGCCCGGCAUCGCCUGUGCGGUGCUCUCCGUUGCUGCGUUCUCCGGCAUCCACGGCGCGCAAGGGCAGGCGCGUGCGUGACUCUGGUGUUUCGGUGGCGGUGAGGGCUGAGAGGCAUGCCGCGGCCAGGGAUCUCCCGCCUUCAGGUUCGUCUGUCCAUCCCCAUCCCCCUCCCCCUGCUUCCCCUAUCCGCCUCGUUUUACCUGCAUUUUCGGAUGAUCAUUUGCUUCAUAUUAUGUCCGAUGUUGGGAUGUCUGUUGCAUCGGGGCUGGGCUCUCCCUCUCGUCUUCUUUUUGCCAUCAGGGCUAAUGAUGUUGCCCAGGCUGCUAUUGCCAAGGCCAUGGAGGUCGCGACUGCUAUCGGGCCUGUUGGGGCCCCGAGUCAGUCUGGGGAGGAUGGAACGACAAAUGGUUGUGGCCAGUCGCUUCCUCCUCCUUCCAUUGCGAAGAAAGGGCUUUCCAAGCGUUCUAAGCCUUGUCUGGCCCCGUGCAGAUCGAGCCUCCGUUUCGGCGCUAGGGGGCGUCGCGACCAGAUUCAUGACUUGGUUUGUGGAGAACACAUUGACAUUUUAGGGCUGGUUGAAACAUUUAAGGAAUCCUUCUCCCCUCCUGAACUGUCUGCGGUGGCAGGCAUGGAAAGGUUCGACUGGCACUUAAUCCCUGCCUCGGGCCAUUCUGGGGGCAUCUUGAUAGGGUCGAGACGGGAAAUGUUUGAUCUUAUUACCUUUGAUCAUGGCAUCUUUUGGUCUAGAUGUGUGGUACAUCAUCAUCAGCUUAACAAGAUUUGGGAAUUUAUGGUGGUCUAUGGCCCCGCGGAUCACUCUCUUGCCCCUUUGUUCCUGGAUGAGCUUUCUAUUAAGAUUGAAUCCUGUAAUAUUCCCCUUCUAAUUGGUGGUGAUUUCAAGUUGCUACGCUCCUCGACUGAUAAAAAUAGCCCUAACUUCUCCUGGCCCCUUGCCAAUGCUUUUAAUGAGUUCAUCAGUAAUUGCACGCUCCGUGAGCUCCCUAGGGUGGGGGCACGGUUCACCUGGUCUAAUCAUCAGUCUUCUCCCGUUCGGUCAGUGUUUGAUUGGGUCUUUGUUUGUGCUAGAUGGGACUUGCUUUUCGCUCGUGCGGUGCUGAAAGCCAGGAGUGCGGUGGGCUUCGACCAUGUCCCCCUCGUCAUGGACGCGGGCCUGCCGCCUGUGGCUGCUUCUCGCUUCCAGUUUGAUGCUUCCUGGCUUGUGGUGGACGGUUUUUGUGACAUGAUGGCUUCCAAGAUUGCUAUUCUUCUUAACGCCCCCCCCCCCGCCGCUCCUUUGGCUCCAUGGAUGAUUGGCUCAAGGGACAAAGAGGUCCUUGAGUCUCAACUCCGAGACCUGGAUCUCGCUGCGGAUCGGUCUGGUCUCUCUGCUUCUCAAUGGGCCACUCGCUACUCCCUGGAAGAUGCUCUGAUGGUGUUGCAUCAGCAGUCCAAAAUUUACUGGCGCAAACGCGGCACCCUUAACUGGACCCUGAAGGGUGAUGCUAUGACAGCUUAUUUCUUUGCUAUCGCCAAUGGUAGACGCCAGAGGUGUCUCAUUGAUAGUCUAAUCAUUGAUGGGGUCAGGACCUCGGACCAGUCUCUAAUCUUAAAUCACAUUGUUGGGUUCUACUCCAAUCUCCUCAGCUCCAAGCCGGACCCUGGGCUUGCCUUCUCUUCUGACUUCUGGGACGCGGGAAGUAAGAUUUUGUCUGAAGAAAACAUGGGAUUGAUAGUUCCUCUUUAUGAUGAGGAGAUUUGGCAGGUGAUUAGUUCGGCCAAUCCGAAUGCUGCCUCUGGGCCUGAUGGUUUCUCAAUACCCUUCUUUAUGAAAUUUUGGCCACAGUUGCGGGUCCUCGUGUGUAAGAUCAUUCAAGGUUUUUGGUUGGGGACAGUGGAUAUUUCUUGUCUUAAUUAUGCUGUCAUUUCUCUCAUUCCUAAGGUCAAAGGAGCUUAUCUGAUCUCGCAGUUUAGGCCUAUUGCCCUCAUUAAUAAUUUUGCCAAAUUUCCGGCCAAAGGGCUCGCCACGCGCCUCUCUCCCAUUGCCCAUCGUACCAUCAGUCCGUUUCAAUCGGCCUUUAUUAAAGGUCGUUUCAUCUUGGAUGGGGUUCUUUGCUUGCAUGAAAUUGUGCAUGACCUUAAGAUUCGUAAGUCUAAAGUGGUGAUUCUUAAACUCGAUUUUGAGAAGGCUUACGAUUCGGUGAGCUGGCCUUUUUUGCAUAGGGUUUUGCUGGCUAAAGGGUUUGAGGGGCCUUUAGUUCAUAGAAUCAUGCAGCUGGUCUCGGGAGGCCAUACUGCCAUUUUUGUUAACAGCCAGGUUAGUAAGUUUUUUGCCAAUGGUAGGGGCCUGCGGCAAGGUGAUCCCGCUUCACCCAUUUUGUUUAACUUCGUAGCGGAUGCCUUAUCCCGUAUGUUGUCCAGGGCAGUUGCUCAUGGGCACAUUUCUCUGGUUAGUUCUAAUCUUCUCCCCCAAGGUAUAACCCAUCUCCAGUAUGCGUAUGACACGAUCAUUAUGGUUGAGCUGAAUGAUGCUUGCAUCGCGCAUGUCAAGUUCAUUCUUCUCUGUUUCGAAGCGAUGUCUGGUCUUAAGAUCAACUUUGCCAAGAGUGAAGUUAUUGUUACGGGUGUGGACGAGUCUGAAGUUGUGCGGGUGGCACACCUUCUUAACUGUAAGCUAGGAGUGUUCCCUUUCAAAUAUCUGGGCCUUCCCAUCUCUUCGGAUGUGCUUCAUGUGAAAGAUUUUGCCCCGGUGGUUACCAAGAUUAUGAGUGCGGAGGACCAGCCCCUCUCGCUGUCUAUUCUUAAGGCUAAAUACUUCCCCUCCUCGAGCCUGAUGUUUGCUAACUCGCGUGCGGGCUCUCAGUUUUGGAAGUCCCUCUUCAAAGUUAGGCCGGUGUUCCAGUCCUUCGUCAAGUUUGUAGUCGGGGAUGGCUCCUCUAUUAGCUAUGCAGACAAGAGCAGGAGGCUUAGCUUCUUUUGGGACCGUAAGACUAGUUGUAGUUGGGAUGUUUCUUUUCCGUCCUGUGUGCCGUGUACUGGCGAGGGAGCCAUAUACCUGACUACUUCUCUUUCGUUUGACCCGCAGUUUGGGUCUGGUUGCUAUGUGCUCAGCAAUAGAGCGAUCGCCUCCGGUGCCACCAGUGGGCAACUUCCCCCGCCCGACAUUUUCGGCAAUUCUCUGUACACGAUUGACAUUGGCCAAAAUGAUUUCACCUCUAACCUAGGGUCACAGAGCAUCGAGAGUGUCAAGCAAACGCUUCCUUCAGUUAUCACCCAGAUCUCGUGGGCUAUACAGGACUUGUACAACAUCGGGGCUCGCAAAUUCAUGGUGUUCAACAUGGCACCAAUCGGGUGUUACCCAGCUUUUCUCGUGGAGCUUCCGCAUAGCAGCAGUGAUCUUGAUGAGUAUGGCUGCAUGACAAGUUACAAUAGCGCGGUUGUCUACUACAAUGAACUGCUGAACAACAGCUUGACCGAGGUUAGGAAGACGCUGCAGAAUGCGUCAAUCGUGUAUGUCGACAAAUACUCUGCCAUGCUCGAGCUGUUCAGGCAUCCAGAAGAUCAUAGGCUCAAGUAUGGGACCAAGGCCUGCUGCGGAUACGGUGGUGGAGCUUACAAUUUUGACCCAGAUAUGUACUGUGGCACCAACAAGAUUGUGAAGGGCAACAUCGCAAGUGCGAUAGCCUGCGGAGACCCGCAGAACUACGAGAGCUGGGAUGGAAUCCAUGCCACUGAAACUGCAAACUUGUUAGAUUAA